rnacentral:rRNA from 1 species
CUUGCUGGGGGAUUAGUGGCGAACGGGUGAGUAACACGUGAGUAACCUGCCCUUAACUCUGGGAUAAGCCUGGGAAACUGGGUCUAAUACCGGAUAUGACUCCUCAUCGCAUGGUGGGGGGUGGAAAGCUUUAUUGUGGUUUUGGAUGGACUCGCGGCCUAUAGAGCUUGUUGGUGAGGUAAUGGCUCACCAAGGCGACGACGGGUAGCCGGCCUGAGAGGGUGACCGGCCACACUGGGACUGAGACACGGCCCAGACUCCUACGGGAGGCAGCAGUGGGGAAUAUUGCACAAUGGGCGAAAGCCUGAUGCAGCGACGCCGCGUGAGGGAUGACGGCCUUCGGGUUGUAAACCUCUUUCAGUAGGGAAGAAGCGAAAGUGACGGUACCUGCAGAAGAAGCGCCGGCUAACUACGUGCCAGCAGCCGCGGUAAUACGUAGGGCGCAAGCGUUAUCCGGAAUUAUUGGGCGUAAAGAGCUCGUAGGCGGUUUGUCGCGUCUGCCGUGAAAGUCCGGGGCUCAACUCCGGAUCUGCGGUGGGUACGGGCAGACUAGAGUGAUGUAGGGGAGACUGGAAUUCCUGGUGUAGCGGUGAAAUGCGCAGAUAUCAGGAGGAACACCGAUGGCGAAGGCAGGUCUCUGGGCAUUAACUGACGCUGAGGAGCGAAAGCAUGGGGAGCGAACAGGAUUAGAUACCCUGGUAGUCCAUGCCGUAAACGUUGGGCACUAGGUGUG